UGACGGUACCUGACUAAGAAGCCCCGGCUAACUACGUGCCAGCAGCCGCGGUAAUACGUAGGGGGCAAGCGUUAUCCGGAUUUACUGGGUGUAAAGGGAGCGUAGACGGCUUUGCAAGUCUGAAGUGAAAGCCCGGGGCUCAACCCCGGAACUGCUUUGGAAACUGUAGAGCUAGAGUGCAGGAGAGGUAAGUGGAAUUCCUAGUGUAGCGGUGAAAUGCGUAGAUAUUAGGAGGAACACCAGUGGCGAAGGCGGCUUACUGGACUGUAACUGACGUUGAGGCUCGAAGGCGUGGGGAGCAAACAGGAUUAGAUACCCUG
rnacentral:rRNA from 1 species